rnacentral:rRNA from 1 species
UACGUAGGUGGCAAGCGUUGUCCGGAUUUACUGGGUGUAAAGGGCGUGUAGGCGGGAUAGCAAGUCAGAUGUGAAAUUCCGGGGCUUAACCCCGGCGCUGCAUCUGAAACUGUUAUUCUUGAGUGUCGGAGAGGAAAGUGGAAUUCCAAGUGUAGCGGUGAAAUGCGUAGAGAUUGGGAGGAACACCAGUGGCGAAGGCGGCUUUCUGGACGAUAACUGACGCUGAGGCGAGAAAGCGUGGGGAGCAAACAGG